rnacentral:rRNA from 1 species
UACGUAUGGUGCAAGCGUUAUCCGGAUUUACUGGGCGUAAAGGGUGCGUAGGUGGUUUGGCAAGUUGGCGGCGUAAUUCCGAGGCUCAACCUCGGCGCUACCGCCAAAACUGUUGAACUUGAGUGCAGGAGGGGUAAGUGGAAUUCCUAGUGUAGCGGUGGAAUGCGUAGAUAUUAGGAGGAACAUCGGUGGCGAAGGCGACUUACUGGACUGUAACUGACACUGAGGCACGAAAGCGUGGGGAGCAAACAGG